AUUGAACGCUGGCGGCAGGCCUAACACAUGCAAGUCGAGCGGAUGAGUGGAGCUUGCUCCAUGAUUCAGCGGCGGACGGGUGAGUAAUGCCUAGGAAUCUGCCUGGUAGUGGGGGACCACGUCUCGAAAGGAACGCUAAUACCGCAUACGUCCUACGGGAGAAAGUGGGGGAUCUUCGGACCUCACGCUAUCAGAUGAGCCUAGGUCGGAUUAGCUAGUUGGUGAGGUAAAGGCUCACCAAGGCGACGAUCCGUAACUGGUCUGAGAGGAUGAUCAGGCACACUGGAACUGGGACACGGGCCAGACUCCUACUGGAGGCAGCAGUGGGGAAUAUUGGACAAUGGGCGAAAGCCUGAUCCAGCCAUGCCGCGUGUGUGAAGAAGGUCUUCGGAUUGUAAAGCACUUUAAGUUGGGAGGAAGGGCAGUAAGUUAAUACCUUGCUGUUUUGACGUUACCAACAGAAUAAGCACCGGCUAACUUCGUGCCAGCAGCCGCCGUAAGAC
rnacentral:rRNA from 1 species